UACGGAGGAUCCGAGCGUUAUCCGGAUUUAUUGGGUUUAAAGGGUGCGCAGGCGGGAGAUUAAGUCGGCGGUGAAAUUUUGCAGCUCAACUGUAAAAGUGCCUUCGAUACUGGUUUCCUUGAGUGUGGAUGAAGUAGGCGGAAUUUGUGGUGUAGCGGUGAAAUGCUUAGAUAUCACGAGGAACUCCGAUUGCGCAGGCAGCUUACUAAACCACUACUGACGCUCAGGCACGAAGGCGUGGGGAUCAAACAGGAUUAGAUACCCGUGUAGU
rnacentral:rRNA from 1 species